rnacentral:lncRNA from 1 species
AACUUAUCCAAGUCUAUUUAUAGCCAAUACUGAACCAUUUCAUAUUUCACAACUCCCAGUUCAGAAGUGCAAUAACAUUACAACGAUAUAAUUUCAUUUACAGAACCCAUCAUAGCCUUUCUGGUACCUCAGCUACGCGGCUGUGAUGUGAACAAGGUGUUGUAGCUGUCUUUCCACUCCUGCUGGGACAGGACUCCAGGGUUCAUCCCUAAAACAGCUGGGCCAUUGGUAUCUAUUUUAUUCUCUACCCUUUGGUAAGCCUCACACAGUUUAUCAAGCACAGCCCUUGGUCAAGGACUUUUGCAGAAACCCCCCUCCACUCCAGCCUCCAAGCAAACUUUUGGGGUACUGCUCUGUGCAGUCCCUUCUCCUCUGGUGCCUGCCCUGCAGAUUCCAGCUGCCUCAGCUUCCUCAAGUCAGCAGGACCAUCUUGCUCUGCUGAUUCCAUUUCACUGGCUUCAGUACAGAAAUUCCCAAGCAUGGAGGCUGAACUUGACUUGUGGGAUAAUAGACUACCAUCAUUUGUUGGUGAAGUUCAAGCUCAUUGGUAAGAUAUUUUUUGCUACUUAUUUCAAUAUUAGUUGCAGUUUUUCGUGGCACCAGUAGGUCAGGGACAACUGAAAGCACUAUGCAUAUUUCAGUCAUCUAAGGUAAAUUCCAAAUCAUUGCUAAAACAGGCAUGUUAAUGCAGGAGGUCAAAUCGUAGAACAUAAAUGAGUGCCCAAUAAAUACUAGCCAUAUAG